UACAGAGGGGGGCAAGCGUUGUUCGGAAUUACUGGGCGUAAAGGGCUCGUAGGCGGCCAACUAAGUCGGACGUGAAAUCCCUCGGCUUAACCGGGGAACUGCGUCUGAUACUGGAUGGCUUGAGAUUGGGAGAGGGAUGCGGAAUUCCAGGUGUAGCGGUGAAAUGCGUAGAUAUCAGGAGGAACACCGGUGGCGAAGGCGGUUCUCUGGCAUUACCUGACGCUGAGGAGCGAAGUGUGGAGCGAACAGG
rnacentral:rRNA from 1 species